rnacentral:snRNA from 1 species
AUGCUUGCUUUGGCAGCACAUAUACUAAAAUUGGAAUGAUACAGAGAAGAUUAGCAUGGCCCCUGCACAAGGAUGACAUGCAAAUUCGUGAAGCGUUCCAUAUUUUU